AAAGGAAGAAACAGGAACACAUCACUCUUCCUUUGUUAACUCGUCUCUUUAAUAAAUAAUUACCUCCCUGCAGCUCUAGGCUUCUUCUCAGCGAGUUAAAUCUCUCCUCAUUAGUUUCAAAUGAUUGUUGAAACCUCUGAAGCAAAGAGGAAGCUCUUUGUAAGAACCUGACGUCAUGUUAACAGUCUGAAAUGGUGGUUUCUGAUGGCCCUGGUCCAAUGGGGUCGGAUCCACAGUGAUGAUGAAAUGAGAUCGAUUCACUGCAGCCUCCUCCUCCAAGGCUGGUUUUCCCUGAAACUUCUCACCCUACAAGGAAACAUCUGAUCCUUCGGAGGUUCGGUGGAUGUCUGUGGAGAGUAAGAAACAUUUGAAUCUGAAACAGACGACUUCAUAUCCCGGUAAGUUGAGAAAACGACAGUUAACAGCUGAGGGUCAAACGUAUGAGAACGAUUUCAGAUUAAAUCUGACUGGGUUUCAGCUUAAUCUCAGCAUAACAUCAGCAGAUCUCUGGGCUUUCCAACACUCCAGUGAAAAAUAUUCAAUAAGCAGUAGAAACAGGACAGUGUGGAUAAUUCUGUGAUCAUAUUAAAGAAAACAGAGAGCAGAACCUCCCACUGUUCACGAAUCAACAGAAAAAUCUAGAAAAUCAACAGAUCUGCAGAAAAAUUGAAAACCUGAUUUAUAGCAUCUCAUUAUGGAGAAUAUACUAACUUUAUUAUAAAUGUUCAAAUUAAGACAUUGACUUGUUCUGGUGAGAAAAUGAUUACAAAAUGAAAGAAAAAUAAAUAAAACUGAAAACAAAAACCGUUGACAUGUUUCUAAACAGAAAUGUUUCAGUCAACAUUAGAGACUGACUGGUUCUUACCACCAAGCAGCAGGUUUGCUUUUAAUAUCAACAUGAUGAACAUCAGCAUAUCUGAUGAUGUUCAUUUGGACCUGCAAAGAUUUUUGAAUAUUUGAUGAAGCCUUUCCACUGACUGGAGCAAUAUGACAACACACCUGAAAGACUGAGAAAGAAACAGAACGACUGACUAAAGGUGAAAUAAAAAUAAAAAUAUUUCUUCAAAAUUAUUUACUUACUGUAGUUCCCCAUUUUGGAUUUCAAGAUGACACUGAUUUCUGCAGAUUUUACUGCCUUAUGCACACCUACAUCUAUGACUGCAAAAACUCUGUGGGUUGAGAAAUGUCUUCAGUGGUUUUCUGCAGCAGUGAUCCAAGAGUUUCAGCGCUGCAGUGGGUUUGGGUGCCAGCUUGGGGUUAUGUAGGACAGAUACCUUUGAAGAACAUCUGACACAUCAUCAAUGCACAGACCUCGGUGAAUGUUUUGCAAAAGGCACCUCCAAUCAAAUCCAUGAUCAAUUUUAAAUUAAUAUUGACAUGAGAAUUUUAUUCCUUCCUAUUUGCUGGAAAAUGUCUCUGUGUUUGGCAGGAAGGAUGGCGAGGUGGAAGAGCUGCCAGCUCCUGUUCAUCCUCCUUUUCCUGAACAUCAGCAAUGGGUUUAGUAUGAACCUUCCAGACAUCUCACCAAACACACAGAAAUAAAUAAAAACAAAAAAAUAAUCCUGGCUUCCUUUGGACUCAUCAGCUGAAACCUCAAGUUAAGUUUCAUCAGAUAAAAGUUACAGCUGAAAACAAAACAAACUGCCCUGCUGUAGCUGCUACAGUAAAUUUAUUACUAUAGGAGAAAUAAGGUGGAGAGAGUUUUAAUAGGCUCUUCUACCAAUUAGCUUCACUAAGGCAGCACAUUAUUGAUAAGUUAUUUAACAUCCAAACAUCGUUUGGGCCUUGAAAUGUGAGAACAUGUCCGUCAGCAAAAGCUUUCUAAGAACGACUCCGUUGCCUUCAGGAUGACCUCUGUGUGUUUUCUCUCUGCAGAGGUGAGAGAAGACGAGUGGGAGGAGCCGAGUCCAGAUGUUGCUGCUCUGCAUCGCCUCCAAGGUCACAUGAUCCACGAGCAACUCAGCAACUCCUCACAGUCCAGGUUUAUUACGCUUAUGAUCCACUGUCUGAGUUUUAUCUUUCAUUUGUCAGUAUCACUUUAUUUGAAGGUGUGAGCAUGACAGUCAUAAACAUGAAGAGCCUUCAACUGUUUGACUGUUGUCAUGAAGGUUUACACACUCCUUCACAAGCGCUUCUGCCAAGGUCCUACCUUCUCCUCAUGGCUAAAAUAAAACCAAACCAAAAGCCAAAGAACUCCCUCUGCUCCCUCAUCUUCAUCUUCAUCUGUCAGUUGUUUGUUGAUCGAACCGCUCCUCUCUGCCUCUCCAGUCUUGGCUGAGGUCUCUGCAGAACCAGACUCCCAUCCACCUUGUGGCAUCCAUCCAUCCUGUAGUGAUGAACAAAUGAAGUCUCACAAAUCAACGAAGGUUCAUUACUCAGUAAUUCAUUCAUUGCUCACUAGUGACAUCUGCUGUUGAACUAAAACUGUGACACAUUGUCACUCAAGUAAAUCAUACUUCAAAAUAUAUAACAACUUACCAGUUUAGGCAAUAUGUCACAAUAAGGUUUUAAUCAAAUCCAUUUAGGAUCCAAUGAACCCAAUUUAUCUUGUUGUGAUUUGUGCCUGAAGUAAUCCUGCUGUUGACUGAGGUUGUGUUUUCUUAUAUCUUAUAGACUGAUUUGACAGUAAAGAUAUUUGUGUGGCAGUAUGCCCUGUAGGCUCUGAACGCAUCACACAAGUGCCUGAAUCUAAUUGGUUGUUGCGCUGGCUGUCAGUAUAUAAAGGGCCCUCCCUCACCUGGUUGACAUCACGUUGUUUUCCUUCUGGUUCAGACCUCGGCGUUUGCUGGCGUUGCACGCUAGCCGCAUAUUAAUGCACGCUCGAUUGGUGCGCUUAACGACGCUCUAGUCGCCGAUCGAUCGGUGGCCCGUACAAGCUGCCUGAUUUCCCUUCCUGUCAGAGGCGCUACAUAUAGAGCUCAGUGGUAAGUGAAAUGCUCAUCUUCUCUAUGCUUCCAGAUUCCAUUUCUGACGCUGCUGUUUGUCCCUGGCUGGCGGUCCGCCUGCCGUCCUGGUUGCUGGCCUCACGCCUGCCGUCCUGGUCGGCUUAAAACUGGCUCCUGUCAUUCGUCCUUAAAUUCAAAAUGAGCGAAAUAUAAUCAGCCAUCUUUUCAUGCUAUUUGACAAUAUAUAAUUAACUCUUACUCCAUCCAAACAGCAAUAAGAUGAGAAAACUGAGUAAAUCUGUAUAACAACACUAAAGGACAUGUCAUAAUCUACAUUUGCUAAAAUGUUUCUGAUUUUUACACAAGAACAAUUUGAUUUCAGCCAGAAACGAUAAAUGUUUUACUUAACAAGCUACUUCCAAGUAACUUUACACACUUUUUAGACUCCAAGGCUGCAAAUACACUGCCUGGCCAAAAAAAGUCACCACCUGGAUUUAACUAAGCAAAUAGGUACAAGCCUCCUA